rnacentral:rRNA from 1 species
AACCAGACUCCUACGGGAGGCAGCAGUGGGGAAUAUUGGGCAAUGGGCGCAAGCCUGACCCAGCAACGCCGCGUGAAGGAAGAAGGCUUUUGGGUUGUAAACUUCUUUUCUCGGGGACGAAGAAAGUGACGGUACCUGAGGAAUAAGCCACGGCUAACUACGUGCCAGCAGCCGCGGUAAUACGUAGGUGGCAAGCGUUAUCCGGAUUUAUUGGGUUUAAAGGGUGCGUAGGCGGAAUGCCAAGUCAGCGGUAAAAUCGCGGGGCUCAACCUCGCUCCGCCGUUGAAACUGGCGUUCUUGAGUGGGCGAGAAGUAUGCGGAAUGCGUGGUGUAGCGGUGAAAUGCAUAGAUAUCGCGCAGAACUCCGAUUGCGAAGGCAGCGUACCGGCGCCAGACUGACGCUGAGGCACGAAAGCGUGGGGAUCGAACAGGAUUAGAUACCCUGGUA